GAUGAACGCUGGCGGCGUGCCUAACACAUGCAAGUCGAGCGUGAACCCUGCGAAUGAAACUUCGGUCGAUUUUGCAGGGGGAAAGCGGCGGACGGGUGAGUAACGCGUAGGUAACCUGCCCCAUACUGAGGGAUAGCCUCGGGAAACCGGGAUUAAUACCUCAUAACACCGUAUAUUCGCAUGGAUGUGCGGUCAAAGAUUUAUCGGUAUGGGAUGGGCCUGCGUCUGAUUAGCUGGUUGGUGGGGUAACGGCCUACCAAGGCGACGAUCAGUAGCCGACCUGAGAGGGUGAUCGGCCACAUUGGAACUGAGACACGGUCCAAACUCCUACGGGAGGCAGCAGUGGGGAAUAUUGCACAAUGGGCGAAAGCCUGAUGCAGCAACGCCGCGUGAGCGAAGAAGGCCUUUGGGCUAAAGCUCUGUCGGGUAGGAAGAUAAUGACGGUACUACCCGAGGAAGCCCCGGCUAACUACGUGC
rnacentral:rRNA from 1 species